UACGUAGGGUGCGAGCGUUGUCCGGAAUUAUUGGGCGUAAAGGGCUCGUAGGCGGUUUGUCGCGUCGGGAGUGAAAACUCAGGGCUUAACCCUGAGCCUGCUUCCGAUACGGGCAGACUAGAGGUAUGCAGGGGAGAACGGAAUUCCUGGUGUAGCGGUGAAAUGCGUAGAGAUCCGGAGGAACACCGGUGGCGAAGGCGGAUCUCUGGGCCUUACCUGACGCUGAGGCGCGAAAGCUAGGGGAGCAAACAGG
rnacentral:rRNA from 1 species